rnacentral:lncRNA from 1 species
UCAGCAUUCCACCAAAACUAACAGAAACUGACACCAGGCGUGGACCAAUGCCUUCAGAAUUAGCAUGAUUUCCUGAAUCUGCAACAUAAGUCCAUGAUAACCAAAGGCAAUCUGCUAUGCUAUCGUCUGUCACGCCAAAAAGUGCUAAGCCACCAAGACAAAUAAGGAGCAGAGUGGCAACUAACAAGGCCAGUGGUUUAGCAUAAGGAUGAAAUGAUAAGAAUCCAUCUACCCGGUAAGCUAGCUGCUUGUUCAGAGAUAAUUCCUCUGUGGUGCAGUCCGACGGUCUUCUAACAUAAGAGAUAUACUCCAUAUAUUUAAUAAAAACAAGAGGAAGGGACAAGAUCACGAGUGAGAGAAUCAAUGCUGUAGUUUUCAAACUUGCACCAGAAAUAUUCUGCUCUGACAUUGAUUCACUAAUGUCAAUAGAAUCUGAAAUGUUGCAGUGUCUCAGUCUGAUAUCGAGCUUUGAAAGCUCACCCUGAUAUGACGGGAAGGAAAGGAGAAACAGGUAAACAGUUUAGGGACAGAUCUAGUAAUAUCUUGCAUACAUGUUAGUCAAAUUCUACUUCUCAAAAGCCCAGAAUUGUUGUAUCAAUAUAAAUGCAAUGUUACACACUUUAAAGUCUACUAAUAACUGAAGAAGAUGAAGGCUAUAUAUUUCUACAGUUCCUCGUCAUGGAUAUUACUUGAAUUGGUCUUGGAAGAUGAUCUGGAAAAUAAGAGCUCAACCUUAUGUAGAUAGUUCACAGAGUCUUCAUCAAAAAAAAAAAGUUCAGAGAGUCUUACUUUUUAUUUAUUUUUUGAGAUGAUUUUAGUUCAAAAGUCUUAUUUGACACAAUUAUACUUACAAAGAAGGUCAAUGAAGGAAUGAUUACCAACAAACACCGAGAACUCCUCCAUAGAUCUUCAUAUCACCCUGUAUCCGUCCCUCUUCAGGAUACCGAAUAGUACUAAAAUCACCUCUAAGUACCCCUGGAAUGUCCCACUCUCCCAUAAUAGUUGUCAUCUCAUCCCAAAAAAUUUUCCUUUAACCCUCCCCCACAGGGCCAUACAGGCAUACACUGCCACAAAUCCCCUUCACCCCAUUCCCAUAGUUUUGAAAUCAUAGCUGCUAACAAGAACUCCCCUUUCUUUCCUUGCAUAAAUUAUAGUUUCCUCUUGUCUCAUAGUUAAAAAAAAAACCUCAACAUUCCUGCGAUCUGGAAUAAACUCAUAUCUCACUCAUCCACCUCCCACAAACUUCUUACAAUAGCGUCUAACAGACCUACUGUUUCAGUUUCCUGAAAACAUAUAAGAUUGCCCUCAACCCCUUAAACUCACCUUUACGGUUGCCCUUUUAUUAGGGCCAUUCAACCCCCUCACAUUCCCAUGAAAUAAUUUUACUAUCCAUAAACAAUAUCUAUAUCCUUAUCCCCCCUCCCCAAUCAUCUCCCCACCACCCAACUUCUUCCCCUUGCCCUUUAUCCACAUCCCUCACUCUCCACCUUGCCUCCUCUCAUACACCGCAAAUUUACCCUUCUCAUGUUGCCCUUCCCCUGCCCUAACCUAACCCCUUUCAACCCUACUAGAAUUUCUUGCUUCUCUUUCAAUUGCCAAUAAAAAGCUCUAAUAUUCUCUUCUUCCUCCCACCCUCCACCCCACCCCAAACCAAAAGAAAAACCCACAAAUUCCCCCACCCACUCCAUUAAUCUCCUCUCCUCCUCAGUAAUUGUUAACAGUAAGGCAUCUUCCUCCACCAUCAUCCUCCUGACCCCAUUAUCAUAUUGUCGGGCAUCAAAAUAUGUCACGCCAAAAAGUGCUAAGCCACCAAGACAAAUAAGGAGCAGAGUGGCAACUAACAAGGCCAGUGGUUUAGCAUAAGGAUGAAAUGAUAAGAAUACAUCUACCCGGUAAGCUAGCUGCUUGUUCAGAGAUAAUUCCUCUGUGGUGCAGUCCGACGGUCUUCUAACAUAAGAGAUAUACUCCAUAUAUUUAAUAAAAACAAGAGGAAGGGACAAGAUCACGAGUGAGAGAAUCAAUGCUGUAGUUUUCAAACUUGCAACAGAAAUGUUCUGCUCUGACAUUGAGUCAAUAAUGUCAAUAGAAUCUGAAAUGUUGCAGCGUCUCAGUCGGAUAUCGAGCUUUGAAAGCUCACCCUGAU